AACGAACGCUAGCUACAGGCUUAACACAUGCAAGUCGAGGGGUAACAAGAGAAAAGCUUGCUUUUCUUGUUGACGACCGGCGCACGGGUGAGUAACGCGUAUCCAACCUGCCUAUAACUAGGGAAUAACCUUGCGAAAGUAAGACUAAUACCCUAUGAUUUCCUUUGAUGACAUCAGAUUAGGAAUAAAGAUUUAUCGGUUAUAGAUGGGGAUGCGUCUGAUUAGCUUGUUGGCGGGGUAACGGCCCACCAAGGCAACGAUCAGUAGGGGUUCUGAGAGGAAGGUCCCCCACAUUGGAACUGAGACACGGUCCAAACUCCUACGGGAGGCAGCAGUGAGGAAUAUUGGUCAAUGGGCGGAAGCCUGAACCAGCCAAGUAGCGUGCAGGAUGACGGCCCUAUGGGUUGUAAACUGCUUUUAUACAGGAAUAAAGUUAGCCACGUGUGGUUAUUUGUAGGUACUGUAUGAAUAAGGACCGGCUAAUUCCGUGCCAGCAGCCGCAGUAA
rnacentral:rRNA from 1 species